rnacentral:rRNA from 1 species
UACCAGACUCCUACGGGAGGCAGCAGUGGGGGAUAUUGCACAAUGGGGGAAACCCUGAUGCAGCGACGCCGCGUGUGGGAAGACGGUCCUCUGGAUUGUAAACCACUGUCCCCAGGGACGAAGAUGACGGUACCUGGGGAGGAAGCUCCGGCUAACUACGUGCCAGCAGCCGCGGUAAUACGUAGGGAGCGAGCGUUGUCCGGAAUUACUGGGUGUAAAGGGAGCGUAGGCGGGCGAGAAAGUUGAAUGUUAAAUCUACCGGCUUAACUGGUAGCUGCGUUCAAAACUUCUUGUCUUGAGUGAAGUAGAGGCAGGUGGAAUUCCUAGUGUAGCGGUGAAAUGCGUAGAUAUUAGGAGGAACACCAGUGGCGAAGGCGGCCUGCUGGGCUUUAACUGACGCUGAGGCUCGAAAGCGUGGGGAGCAAACAGGAUUAGAUACCCGUGUAC